rnacentral:rRNA from 1 species
ACCCAAUAGAUACCCGGGUAGUCCACGCCGUAAACGAUGUGCACUAGAUCGGAGGGGCUCUCACGCUCUUCCGGUCGAAAGAAAAAAAAUACGAUAAGUGCACCGCCUGGGGAGUACGGUCGCAAGGCUAAAAACUCAAAGGAAUUGACGGGGGCGUCACACAAGCGGUGGAGCAUGUUGCUUAAUUCGAGGCAACGCGAAGAACCUUACCUGGGCUUGACAUGUACGGAUUAACCUUCGAAAGAUAGGCCACGCCUUCGGUGGAACGUACACAGGUGUUGCAUGGCUGUCGUCAGCUCGUGCUGUGAAGUGUCGGGUUAAGUCCCUUAACCGAGCGCAACCCUCGUCGCUAGUUGCCAGCGCGUCAUGGCGGGGACGUCUAGCGAGACUGCCGGUGUCAAACCGGAGGAAGGUGGGGAUGACGUCAAGUCCUCAUGGCCCUUACGGUCCAGGGAUGCAAACGUGCUACAAUGGCGUGUACAGAGCGACGCGAGGCCGCGAGGCGGA